rnacentral:lncRNA from 1 species
AGGGAGUGGUACAAUGGUGCUGGUGCAUUAAACUAGGAAUGCUGUCCAGGAGCAGAGAGGGCUAAUAGUCCCCAAAGGACAGGGUUUAUUUAUUGUAAACACUCUGAGCUCAAUUUGACAGAACUGAUCUUUUUGAGUCAGACUUGCACAGGUCAUUCAGGUCAGGACUCUCCACCCAAGCCCUUUGCAGAAAGGGAAAAUGCCUGAUGUAGACUGUGGGGGGGUCUUUUUGGAUGGUUUGUGAUUUGGCCUGAGGUCAUCCUUUUCCAGAGUGGCGCAUUUUUUUUUAAUACAUCCGGUCUCAGGCUUAUUCUUUCACAUCUGCUUCUACAAAAGGAUUCGUGUCACAUUUGUAUGUAAAGUACUCAAGUCUGCAAAAGGGAGACACUUCUUAAAUGAAAAGAGAUUCUCUUGGAAUCUUAGGGUCAGAAGUUGGGUGAUCUGGUCCAAAUUCUCAUCUACUUCUCAAGCAAUGGUGGCAGAUGGUCAUUUGGCUUCUGUUUGAAGGCCUCAGGUAAUGGACUCCACUUUCUACCUGUUUUGAGUGGCUCUUUUUUCAUUGAUUCAUUUAUUUGAUCAUUUAUUCA